UGUUUGAUCCUGGCUCAGAACGAACGCUGGCGGCGGGCCUAAUACAUGCAAGUCGAACGAGAAAAUCCGGCUUCGGCUGGGUGAGUAAAGUGGCGAACGGGUGAGUAACACGUGGGCAAUCUGCCCUUAAGUUUGGGAUAAGCCCUCGAAAGGGGGUCUAAUACCGGAUAAUAUCCGGAGAUGGCAUCUUUUCCGGAUCAAAGGCGGAGCAAUCUGCCACUUAGGGAUGAGCCCGCGUCCCAUUAGCUUGUUGGUGAGGUAACGGCUCACCAAGGCUGUGAUGGGUAGCCGGCCUGAGAGGGUGAUCGGCCACACUGGGACUGAGAUACGGCCCAGACUCCUACGGGAGGCAGCAGUAGGGAAUAUUGCGCAAUGGACGAAAGUCUGACGCAGCCACGCCGCGUGGAUGAUGAAGCUUUUCGGAGUGUAAAAUCCUGUCAGUGGGGAAGAACCGGUCGGGGAGUAACUGCCCCGGCCCUGACGGUACCCGCAGAGGAAGUUCCAGGCUAAGCUCC
rnacentral:rRNA from 1 species